AUGAACGCUGGCGGCGUGCCUAAUACAUGCAAGUCGAGCGAACAGACGAGGAGCUUGCUCCUCUGACGUUAGCGGCGGACGGGUGAGUAACACGUGGAUAACCUACCUAUAAGACUGGGAUAACUUUGGGAAACCGGAGCUAAUACCGGAUAAUAUAUUGAACCGCAUGGUUCAAUAGUGAAAGACGGUUUUGCUGUCACUUAUAGAUGGAUCCGCGCCGCAUUAGCUAGUUGGUAAGGUAACGGCUUACCAAGACGACGAUGCGUAGCCGACCUGAGAGGGUGAUCGGCCACACUGGAACUGAGACACGGUCCAGACUCCUACGGGAGGCAGCAGUAGGGAAUCUUCCGCAAUGGGCGAAAGCCUGACGGAGCAACGCCGCGUGAGUGAUGAAGGUCUUCGGAUCGUAAAACUCUGUUAUUAGGGAAGAACAAAUGUGUAAGUAACUAUGCACGUCUUGACGGUACCUAAUCAGAAAGCCACGGCUAACUACGUG
rnacentral:rRNA from 1 species